rnacentral:rRNA from 1 species
GUAAAAUACAUCUGUUAGCAAGGCCGGGCGAAGACCGGUGCCAGCCGCCGCGGUAACACCGGCGGCCCGAGUGGUGAUCGUGAUUAUUGGGUCUAAAGGGUCCGUAGCCGGUUUGGUCAGUCCUCCGGGAAAUCUGAUAGCUCAACUAUUAGGCUUUCGGGGGAUACUGCCAGACUUGGAACCGGGAGAGGUAAGAGGUACUACAGGGGUAGGAGUGAAAUCUUGUAAUCCCUGUGGGACCACCUGUGGCGAAGGCGUCUUACCAGAACGGGUUCGACGGUGAGGGACGAAAGCUGGGGGCACGAACCGGAUUAGAUACCCGGGUAGUCCCAGCCGUAAACGAUGCUCGCUAGGUGUCAGACAUGGCGCGACCGUGUCUGGUGCCGCAGGGAAGCCGUGAAGCGAGCCACCUGGGAAGUACGGCCGCAAGGCUGAAACUUAAAGGAAUUGGCGGGGGAGCACAACAACGGGUGGAGCCUGCGGUUU